rnacentral:lncRNA from 1 species
UCUCGAGCGUUUGCUGCGUGAAGAAGGUGAAAGGCUUGCGUUGUUUCUUGUUUAGGAUAGUUACUUUAGUUGUCACUCUUGUGACCAAAACUGCAAGUUCGAUAGUUCUCUGCAUAUUAACCUUUUGGUAGGUUGAUUUAUAUGGUGUUAGCUAAUUUAAAAAAAUCUUUGCUAAAAAACUCCAUAUCCUCCAUGUUCCGCUGGAAUUGCUGUUGUUGAAGCGCAGGUGUCAGUGGUCUACAGUCGGUUUCUGUUUUGUGAAAUGGGGAGUCUAAUCUCUUAGGAGUAUUUGCACCCGUUGCUGAAAGCCCCUCUACACGAUACUUUAGUCACAAGAUUAGAAAAAGGAAAGGGUGUUAGACUGGAUGAAGCGUGAGGGAAACCCAUUUACGUGACUUUGGGAACAUUUCCCUUGUUGCGCUCAGACUCACAGUUUGUAGUACACGUCUAACCGCUGCUGAGCUUUCUUUGACUCUUCAAAGCGGACGCCUGGGUCCUGACUCCUGGUAUGUAGUUAAAGAAAUGGUGGAGUUCCCUUUUGUGGAGGGAAGUUACUAACGUUUAGGAAUAAUUUUAAUCCUAAGUAUGUGCUUAUUAAAUGCCAGUAAAUUUACUAUUUUCCCUUCCUAUUUUCCUCCCGUAUGGAAAAAAGAGAAGCUUUUACUCAGUAGAACACGUGGGGCGUUAUGUUGCAGCAGUUGCUGUCAGGGAUAAGGUUAGUAAGAGGUCUGGUGGAUGAAGUGUCACAAUAGAGAUCCAUGAAGCUUCAUGAAAGCAUACUUUUCUAGGGGGAAGAAUUUAAUUACAGCGAAAAUUGCUGUUAUGGUUAGGGUUGGAAUGGACACGUUUACAGGGCAUAAAUUUUAAUUUGAAAGAACUAAAGCUGUUUCUAAAGCUCACCUUAUCUCGCCCUGUCUUUUUCUUCACUUUACUCUCUUCAUGUCACUAAUGAUUGGAAAGAAGUGUUCAAUAACAAGACUUAAAUAACAAGUCACGGUAGGGAAUUUUGCCAAAUUAGAUUUUAUUCAGAAUCUCUAACUGACCCUCUGUGUUAUUUUGUUAGACCACAGACUGGGUGGGUUAAACAGAAAAAUAUUUUCUCAAAAUUCUGGAGACUAGCAGUCAAGGUGUCUGUUGGUUUGUUUCUUCAGAGACCUCUCCUUGGCCUGUAGAUGGCCCUGUUUCUUCACAUCCUCUUCUCUCUGUGCCUUAUCUUGUUGUAAGGGCACCAGUCAUUGGAUUAGAGCCUGUCCUAAUGAUUUCAUUUAUCUUUAAUUGCUUAAAUUUUUUUUUCUUUUAUGGUCACAUAUUCGGCAUAUGGAAGUUUCUGGUUCAGGGAUUGAAUCUUAGCUGAAGCUGUGACCUAUUUUGCAGUUGUGGCAAAGAGGUGUCCCUUACUACUACUCUGAGCUGGGCGUUGCUUCAGCAGCAACAUGAGCCACUGCAGUCAGAUUCUUUCUUUCUUUCUUUUUUUUUUUUUUUUUGGUCUUUUUGCCAUUUUUUGGGCUGCUCCUGCGGCAUAUGGAGGUUCCCAGGCUAGGGGUCCAAUCGGAGCUGUAGCUGCCAGCCUACACCAGAGCCACAGCAACGUGGGGUCUGAGACGCUGCAACCUACACCAUAGCUCAUGGCAACGCUGGAUCCUUAACCCACUGAGCAAGGUCAGGGAUCGAACCCACAACCUCAUGGUUCCUAGUCGGAUUCCUUAACCACUGAGCCACAACGGGAACUCUUGCAGUCAGAUUCUUAAACUACUGCACCACAGCAGGAGCUUGUGUCCAAAUAUAGUCAUAUUGUGAGGUACUAGGGGUUAGGAUUUCAACAUAAUGAAUUUUGGGAGGACUCCAUGCAGCGCAUAACACUGGCCACUUAUGCUAAAUGAUUAAGACUUACUAUAGAUCUUAUAUAUAUAUAUUUUUGCUAUUUCUUUGGGCCGCUCCUGCAGCAUAUGGAGGUUCCCAGGCUAGGGGUCGAAUCGGAGCCGCAGCCACUGGCCUAUGCCAGAGCCACAGCAACGCGGGAUCCGAGCCGCGUCUGCAAACUACACCACAGCUCACGGCAACGCCGGAUCGUUAACCCACUGAGCAAGGGCAGGGACUGAACCCGCAACCUCAUGGUUCCUAGUCAGAUUCGUUAACCACUGCGCCACGACGGGAACUCCCAUUACUAUAGAUCUUAAAAUGAAUGUUUCCAACAGGUUAUGGUGCUAAAACACUGGGUGAAUGAGAGAGCAAGAGAGCCAGAGCCCUCAUAUUUUCUUUAUGCUCUUUUCUUCAUCUUGAAUGCCUCCCCAUCUAUUUCCCUUCUGUUUUUUUCUUCUUGUGGUUGACAUAACAUUAGUUCCACGUGUACAAAAUAAUGAUAUGUUAUUUGUAUAUAUUGUGAAAUAAUCACCAUAAUACCACUAGUUAACCUUCAUUCUUGUAUAUAGUUACAAAAAAUUUUUUUUUCUUGUGGUGAGAACUUUUAAGAUUUACUCUCAGCAACUCUCAAAGGUGCACUACAGUAUUAUUAACUAUAGUCACAUUACAUUCCCCAGGACUUAUUUACUUUAUAACUGGCAGCCUAUACUGUAAGUCUAUUAAUUUUUUUUAUUCCACAUAUAAGUGAGAUUAUAGUGUUUGUCUUUCUCUGUAUGAUGUAUUUCACCUUGCAUAAUGCCCUCAAGAUCCAUCCAUGUUGUCACAAUGGCAAGAUUUCAUUCUUUUUUAUGGCUUAAUAGUAUUCCUCGUUUGUGUGUGUGUGUGUGUGUGUGUGUGUGUGUGUGUGUGUCUAUACCACUCUUCUUUCUUCAUUCAUUCUUCUGUGGACACUUAGGUUGCUUCCAUAUCUUGGCUGUUGAAAAGAAUGAUGCAGUGAACAUGGGGGUGCACAUAUCUUUUUGAGUUAGUGUUUUUGUUCUAGUAAAAAUGAGGGAUGGAAUUGCCUGGUUGCAUUGUAGUUCUGUUUUUAAUUUUUUUUGAGGAACCCUCAUACUGUUUUCUAUAGUGGCUGUACCAGUUACAUUCCCACCAGAAGUACAUGAGAGUUCUCUUUUCUCCAUAUUCUUACCAAAUCUUGUUAUUUCUUAUCGUUUGAUAAUAGCCAUUCUAACGUGUGAGUUCAGCUCUUAUAUUUUUGAUUUGCAUUUCCUGAUGGUUAGUGAUGUUGAGCAUCUUUUCAAGUACCUCUUGGCUAUCCAUAUGUCUUCUUUGGAAAAAUAUUUAUUUAGAUCUUUGGCCCAUUUUUAAUUUAUUUCUUUUUAGCUCUUGAGUUGUAUGAGUUUUUAUUUUAUUUUUAAUUUUUUAUAAUUUUUUUUAAUUUUCCCACUGUACAGCAAGGGGGUCAGGUUAUCCUUACAUGUAUAUUUUUUAACUUUUAAUUUUUUUUUUCCUUUUUAGGGCCACACCUGCGAGACAUGGAGGUUCCCAGGCUAGGGGUCAAAUUGCAGCUGCAGCUACUGGCCUACUCAAAGCCACACAGGAUCCAAUCCGCGUUUGUGACCUGCACUACAGCUCAUGGCAAUUCUGGAUCAUUUGCCCACUGAGCAAGGCCAGGGAUUGAAUCUGCAUCUUCAAGGAUACUAGUUAGGUUUGUAACUUGCUGAGCCAUGAUAGAAACUCCCUGAGUUUAUAUAUAUUUUGGAUAUUUACCCCUUAUCAGAUACGUGUUUAGCAAAUAUUUUCUUCCAUUGAAUAGGCUACUUUUUCAUUUUGUUGAUGGUUUCUUUGGCUGUGCCAAAACUUUUUAGUUUGUUGUAUUCCCACUUGCUUAUUUUCCUUUUGUUGCCUUACUUUUGGGGUUUGGUCCAGCAAAUCAUCACUAAGAUUGAUGUCAAGUUAUCACCUAUGUUUUUUCCUAGGAAUUUUAUCAUUUCAGGUCUUAUAUUCAAGUCUUUAAUCCAUUUUGAGUGCAAUUUUGUGUAUGAUGUAGGAUAGCGGCCAACUUUCAGUCUUUUGCAUGUGGUUUUUCCCAUUUUCCCACCACCAUUUAUUGAAGAGACUAUCCUUUCCCCAUUGUAUAUUCUUGAUUUCUUUGUCGUAAAUUAACUGACCAUAUGUAUAAUUGGUUUACUUCUCAGAUCUCUAUUCUCUUACAUUGAUCUAUGUUUCUGUGUCAGCAUCAAAAUGUUUUGAUCUCUAGAGUUUUGUAACAUAGCUUGGAAAUCAGGAAGCGUGAUGCCUCCAACUUUGUUCUUUCUCAAGAUCGUUCUGGCUAUUUGGGGUCUUUUGUGAUUCAUACAAAUUUUAGGUUUGUUGUUCUUUCUGUGAAUUUUGCCAUUGGAAUUUUGGUAGGGAUUGCAUUGAACCUGUAUAUUGCUUUAGAUGGUGUGGACAUUAUAACAAAAUUCUUCCAGUCCGUGAGCUUGGACUAUCUUCCAUUUGUUUUUGUUCCAUUUAUUCAUUUCCCUUCGUCAGUGUACUAUAGUUUUCACCUCUUUCACCUCUGGUUAAAUUUAUUCCUAGGUAUUUUAUUCUUUUUGAUGUAGUUGUAAAUGGUAUUGUUUGUUUUAUUUCUCCUUCUGAUGGUUUGUUUUUAAUGUGUAGAAAUACAACAGAUUGUUGUAUUCUGCAACUUUACUGAAUUAGUUUAUUAGUCCUAACAGUAUUUUGUUGGAAUCUUAGGUGUUCCAUAUAUGAAGUCAUGUAAUCUGCUAUUGCCAUUGUGAUUCUUUUACUUCUAGGUAAAGAUACCUUUAGGCUGAAAGGUAUCUUUGGAUACAUUUUAUUUCUUUUUCUUGCCUAAUUGUUCUGACCAGAUCUUUCAAUAAUGUUGAAUAAAAGUGGCAAGAGUAGGCGUCUUUGUCUUGUUCCUGAUCUUAGUUUUUCACUGUAUGAUUUUAGCUAUGGGAUUGAUAUAUAUGGCUUCUAUUAUGUAGAGGUAUGUUCCCUCUAUACACACUUCAUUGAGAGUUUUUGUCAUAAAUGGAAAUUGAAUUUCCAUCUGUCAAAAUUAUACUCAGCUUUAACUACUUUGCUUAAAUAUCUCUUGUUCUAUGAACUGUUUCAUUACUCCAGCUGAAUGUGAUUUCUUUCUCUUUGUGACACUGUGGUUCUUAACUAUCACUUUUCUUGUGUUAUCUUUAUUAAAUAAACUGCUUGUGGUGAAGGACUGUGUCUAUCCCUUAUUUGAAGUGCGUAGCAGAGUGACUUGCGUUAAAUGGGCACUAAAUUGCAUCAGCAAAUGCUUUGAAGUAGUCUAUGUCAGGAGUUAAGUUUCAUAUUUAUUUUCAAAAGCCACUUCUCUCCAGGAGAUGGAGUUUUAUUUUUAAUUUAUUUUAUUUUAUUUUUGUCUUUUGCCUUUUUUUAGGACUGCACCCAUGGCAUAUGGAGGCUGCCAGGCUAGGGGUUGAAUUGGAGCUAUAGCUGCCAGUGUACGCCACAGGCACAGCAACGCCAGAUCUGGGAUGCAUCUGCAACUUAGACCACAGCCCAUGGCAACGCUGGAUCCUCAACCCACUGAGGGAGGCCUGGGAUCGAACACGUGUCCUCAUGGAUCCUAGUCAGGUUUGUUAACCACUGAGCUUGAUGGGAACUCCGAAAUGGAAUUUUAAAUCCCUCUUCCCCACCCAACACUAUUUUGCAUAUAGGCUAUGCUGAGUAACUUGCUUUCAGAGGGUAUGUAUGAUAAGGCAAGAGGGGGAAAGCCUAACUUAUACAGUAGAGAAAUCCAGCACAUACUGCCUAGGUCAGGUAAUCAAUAAUGACAUCAGUGAUAAGUCAUUUUGAUAGUGUGUACUCUGAUCAGAUGUGAUGAGAACACUUCACCUCCUUCUGUGUUACUCUUCCUCAAAGCCCUAACUUCAUCUAAGCAUGUUAAGAAACAUCAGAUGAAAUUAAAUUGAUGGACAUUCUACAAAUUCCCUAACCUGUACUUAAAACAGUCAUGAUCAUGAGAAACAAAGUCUGUGAAACCGUCACACCAGAGGAGAAGAGACAUAAUGACUUAACGUGGUGUCUUGGCUGGAAUCUUCUAGCAGAAAAAGGACAUUAAUUGAAAACUAGUGAAAUUUGAAUUAAAUAUGAAAUUUAUUUGAUAAUAAUGUGCCAGUGUUGGUUUCUUAGUCAUGACAGACCUUCAUGAUAUUGUAAGAUAUUAACAAUAGGGGAUGAAGGGUGAAGGGUGUGUGGGAAAUGCCUGUACCAUUUUUGCAACUUUUCUGUACAUCUGAAACUAUUUUAAAAUAAAGUUUAAUAAAAACA